AGAGAGAGACAUGCGCGCAUAUCAAUAAGCGGAGGAAAAGAAACUAACUAGGAUUCCCUCAGUAACGGCGAGUGAAGCGGGAAGAGCUCAAAUUUGAAAUCUUCAAGGUUUUACCUUGACGAAUUGUAGUUUAAAGAAGUGUUUUCUGUUGGCGUUUUGGUAAAAGUUCUUUGGAAUAGGACAUCAUAGAGGGUGAGAAUCCCGUAUUUGACCAUUACUUCCAGCUGUUGUGAUACACUUUCAACGAGUCGGAUUGUUUGGGAAUGCAGUCCAAAAUGGGUGGUAAAUUUCAUCUAAAGCUAAAUAUUGGCGAGAGACCGAUAGCGAACAAGUACCGUGAGGGAAAGAUGAAAAGAACUUUGAAAAGAGAGUUAAACAGUACGUGAAAUUGUCAAAAGGGAAGCGUUUGACACCAGUGUUGUUUUUCCGAAAAUCAAUUACGAAUGUUUUAUUUUUGAGGAGUUAUGACUUCAUCGGCUUGCUCCUUUCUUUAUGAAACUUUCUUAAUGCACUUUUCGGUUAACAAGUCAACAUCAAUUUCUUUUGUUGUAAAAGGGUAUGAGGAAGGUGGCUUUCUUUUCGGAGAAAGUGUUUAUAGCCUUGUGCCUCUGCAAUCGGAGAGAUUGAGGUCUGCAGCGUAGAUCCUUCGGGGUUAGAUACAUUUGUGCUAAGUUAUAGCUUUUCAUAGACAACUUGUUGACUAUGUUUAGUCUUGUAGCUUACUCGCUUACUGCUAUAUUACCUACGCUUAGGAUGUUGAUAGUCACAGCGUGUAC
rnacentral:rRNA from 1 species